GAUUAUACUGAACAGAAUACAUUGCCACAUCCAUAUCACCCUGCAGCCCAAGAGCGGUUACUCAGUAAAGCUAAGCAGGCUGAGCCUGGUCAGAACCUGGAUGGGAGGUCACAUGGGAAAACUGGGACAAAAAUUC
rnacentral:rRNA from 1 species